rnacentral:sRNA from 1 species
CUCUAGCCCCGAUGGCAGCGGCAUCCUUUUUCUUUAAGCGAUAGCAAAAAGAAAAAGAUAAAGCGGACAGCGGGACAAAAG